rnacentral:rRNA from 1 species
GUACCCUCGAAAGUACGGGUCUUCGCCUGGAGGUUGGCCAAGAGUUCGAUCCCUACCAGAGAUGUCAGAAAACACCGAAGUAUGGCUAAUUCUGCGGAGUGUGCGCUCUGUCACGCGGCGGUCGAUACAUGGCGUCAUUCCCUCUUUGAUUGCCGCAUGGCCCGAUGUGUUUGGGCCCUCUCCGAUGAGGAUCUGACGGAAACAAUAAUAUCAAACAGGGAGAAGGACGCCAAGCUUUGGAUGCUUUGGUUGGUUGAUACCCUACCUUCGGCUGAUCUAGCACGUGUAUUGGUUACAAUGUGGGCCAUAUGGUGGGCGAGGCGCCGAGCCAUCCAUGACAACCAGUACCAAAGCCCACUGAGUACCCAUACUUUCAUCAACAAGUUUCUAGCAGAGCUCGAGAUGUUGCCAGACACGAAAGUACACCCCAAGGACUUACACGCGUGGCUCCCGCCGGAGCAUCAUGAUGUCAAGAUGAAUGUUGAUGGUGGCUUUUCGAAGAUCGGAGAUCGGGCAGCAGCAGCAGUGAUAUGCAGAGAUAAGCGCGGCAACUUCCUAGUUGCCUCGGCCAUCAUCCAUGAAGGCCGCCUUGAUCCAACGAUCAUCGAAGCACAGGCCUGUUGCGAGGCCCUCUCCCUCGCCUCUGAUUUGCAGGUCUUUUCUCUGUGUGUGGCCUCG